ACAAAGAAGAGUUUGAUCCUGGCUCAGGAUGAACGCUAGCGAUAGGCUUAACACAUGCAAGUCGAGGGGCAUCACAGGAGUAGCAAUACUUUAGGUGGCGACCGGCGG
rnacentral:rRNA from 1 species